rnacentral:tRNA from 1 species
GUUAAGAUGGCAGAGCCCGGUAAUUGCAAAAGGUCUAAGCCCUUUCCGCCAGAGGUUCAACUCCUCUUCUUAACU